rnacentral:lncRNA from 1 species
CGCGGGGCCCCCCCUUGGGGACGCCUGGGUGGCGCGUCGGUGGCAAGUAGGUGGCACCUUGGGGACGCUUUGGGGACAUCUUGGGGACACGGUGCCACCCCUUGGGGAAGCCUCGGUGGCACCUCGGUGGCAAGUUGGUGGCACCUUGGGGACGCUUUGGGGACAUCUUGGGGACACGGUGCCACCCCUUGGGGACGCCUGGGUGGCACCUCGGUGGCAAGUAGGUGGCACCUUGGGGACGCUUUGGGGACAUCUUGGGGACACGGUGCCACCCCUUGGGGAAGCCUCGGUGGCACCUCGGUGGCAAGUUGGUGGCACCUUGGGGACGCUUUGGGGACAUCUUGGGGACACGGUGCCACCCCUUGGGGACGCCUGGGUGGCACCUCGGUGGCAAGUAGGUGGCACCUUGGGGACGCUUUGGGGACAUCUUGGGGACACGGUGCCACCCUUCGGGGACACCUCAGUGGCACCUUGGGGACAUCUUGGGGACACCGUGGAGGGGACGUCGUGACUUGGUGGCACCUUGGGGACGUUGUGCCACCCCCUUGGGGACACCUUGGUGGCACCUUAAGGACACCUUGGGGACAUCUUGGGGACAUCAUCGUGCCACCACCCCCCCCGGAAUCACCUUGGUGGCACCUUGGGGACACUUUGGGGACACCGUGGAGGGGACGUCGUGACUUGGUGGCACUUUGGGGACAUCUUGUGCCACCACCCCCUUGGUGGCACCUUGGUGGCACCUUGGGGACACUUUGGGGACAUUUUGGGGACACUUUGGUGCCAUCUCGAGGUGGCAGCUGGGGAUACUUUGGUUUGAUUUGAGUGCCACAUUUGGGGACACUUUGGGGACACUUUUGGGGACACGUUGGGGACACUUCAGUGCCACCUUUGGGGACACUGGUGCCAUUUUGGGGACAAUUUUCUGCCGUUUUGGGGACACUUUGGGGUCAUUUUAGAGCCUACUUUGGGGAUGCUCUGGUGCCAUUUUGGGGACACUUUGGGGACAUUUUGGUACAACCAUGGGGACACUUUUGGGGACACUUUUGGGGGCAUUUUAGUGCCACAUUUGGGGACGCUUUGGGGACACUACGAGGUGACAUCGUGGGGACACUCUGGUGCCAUUUUGGGGACACUUGGAUGUCAUUUCAGUGCCACUUUUGGGGGCAUCAUGGGGACACUGGUACCACAUUUGGGGACACUUUGGUGCCACUUUGGGGACAUUUUGGGGACAUUUGAAUCACGUGACCUCAGCAGUCCCACCCGGGAUUCGAACCGGCGGCACUCCAGCGGCGCCCAGUGGGCGGGGCUCAGCGCGUAGCCACGCCCCCUUCGUGGCGCAAACGCCGCUGGUGCGCCGAUGCUUCUGACGUCAUCAGAGCGCGC